rfam:Gossypium raimondii Chr06_contig_1150, whole genome shotgun sequence.
CACGUCAGCGCGCUUUGCUGAUGUGGACACAAAUCGCGCUUACGUGGGAGCGAUUUGUUGCAACGUCAGCAAAGCGCGCUGAUGUGG